rnacentral:rRNA from 1 species
UACGUAGGGUGCAAGCGUUGUCCGGAAUUAUUGGGCGUAAAGAGCUCGUAGGCGGUCUGUCACGUCGGCUGUGAAAUCCCGAGGCUCAACCUCGGGUCUGCAGUCGAUACGGGCAAACUAGAGUAUUGCAGGGGAGACUGGAAUUCCUGGUGUAGCGGUGAAAUGCGCAGAUAUCAGGAGGAACACCGGUGGCGAAGGCGGUUCUCUGGGCAUGUCCUGACGCUGAGGCACGAAAGCGUGGGGAGCAAACAGG